GGUUAACAAGUAAAUAUUCCGUAGACAGUGGGUGCGAAAGCGUAACGUUAACAACCUACCGAGGGUUCCAAUAUAAAGAUUAUGGUUGGUCUCUCUGCGUCUUCGGAGGGACCUUUAAAUUUUGUAUA
rfam:Clostridium carboxidivorans P7 ctg00234, whole genome shotgun sequence.